UACGUAGGGGGCAAGCGUUGUCCGGAAUCAUUGGGCGUAAAGAGCGCGUAGGCGGCCCUGUAAGUCCGCUGUGAAAGCCCCGGGCUCAACCUGGGAACUGCAAUGGAAACUGGCGGGCUUGAGUGUGGCAGAGGGGGGUGGAAUUCCGCGUGUAGCAGUGAAAUGCGUAGAGAUGCGGAGGAACACCGAUGGCGAAGGCAGCCCCCUGGGCCAACACUGACGCUCAGGCACGAAAGCGUGGGGAGCAAACAGG
rnacentral:rRNA from 1 species